CAGAAAAUAGUUUAAUUAAAAUAUUAGUUUUGGGGACUAGGGAUGGGAAGUUUUCUCUUUUCUGA
rnacentral:tRNA from 1 species